GAGUUUGAUCCUGGCUCAGGACGAACGCUGGCGGCGUGCCUAAUACAUGCAAGUCGAGCGAACCAAUAGGAGCUUGCUCCUGUUGGUUAGCGGCGGAUGGGUGAGUAACACGUGGGCAACCUGCCUGUAAGACUGGGAUAACACCGGGAAACCGGUGCUAAUACCGGAUAAUCCUUUUCCUCUCAUGAGGAAAAGCUGAAAGUCGGUUUCGGCUGACACUUACAGAUGGGCCCGCGGCGCAUUAGCUAGUUGGUGAGGUAACGGCUCACCAAGGCAACGAUGCGUAGCCGACCUGAGAGGGUGAUCGGCCACACUGGGACUGAGACACGGCCCAGACUCCUACGGGAGGCAGCAGUAGGGAAUCUUCCACAAUGGACGAAAGUCUGAUGGAGCAACGCCGCGUGAGCGAUGAAGGCCUUCGGGUCGUAAAGCUCUGUUGUUAGGGAAGAACAAGUACCGGAGUAACUGCCGGUACCUUGACGGUACCUAACCAGAAAGCCACGGCUAACUACGUGCCAGCAGCCGCGGUAAUACGUAGGUGGCAAGCGUUGUCCGGAAUUAUUGGGCGUAAAGCGCGCGCAGGCGGUCCUUUAAGUCUGAUGUGAAAGCCCACGGCUCAACCGUGGAGGGUCAUUGGAAACUGGGGGACUUGAGUGCAGAAGAGGAAAGCGGAAUUCCACGUGUAGCGGUGAAAUGCGUAGAGAUGUGGAGGAA
rnacentral:rRNA from 1 species